AACAAUGCUAAAGAAGCUUUAAUCAAAUUCAGAGAAACCUCAAAAGAAUUACAAAGAAACAAUAAGAAAUCUUAAAGAAAUAUUAGAAUGAUUACAAAUAUAUCUCAAAUACAUCUCAAUUCAAUCUUAAUUUAAUCCUAGUUGAAAUCCUAUUGGACUUCAUUUAAACUUUAGGCCAAAAACUAAUUAAAUCUUAAAUUCUAAAUAAACUCAAGUAAAAUCCUAAACCCUAAAUCAAAUCCUCGCCAAAUCCUAAACUUUAAAUCAAUUCCUAUCUAAAUCCUAAUCCUAAAUCAAGAUCUAACCAAACCUUAAAUCCUAAAUCAAAUCCUAAAUCCUAAACCAAAUACUAAUUCUAAAUCAAAUUUUAACCAAAUCUUGAAUCCUAAACCAAAUCCUAAAUCCUAAACCAAAUACUAAUCCUAAAUCAAACUCUAACCAAACCUUGAAUCCUAAACUAAAUCCUAAAUCCUAAAUCAAAUCCUAAUCCUAAAUCAAAUCCUAACCAAAUCCUAACCUUGAAUCAAAUCCUAAUCUAAUCCUAACCUUAAUCAAAUUCUAAUCAAAUUCUAAUCAAAUCCUAAAUCCUAGACCAAAUCCUAAUCAAACCUUAAAUCCUAAAUCAAAUCCUAAACCCUAAAUCAAAUUCUAACCAAAUCCUAAAUCCUAAAUCUUAAUUCAAAUCCUAAAUCGAAUCUUAAAUUCUAAAUCAAAUCCUAAUCUUAAAUC
rnacentral:lncRNA from 1 species